rnacentral:misc_RNA from 1 species
AACGCACCUUGCGCUCCGUGGUAUUCCGCGGAGCAUGUCUGUUUGAGUGUCGCGCCCCUCUCUCAACCCCGCCGGCCGUGAGUGGCCGGCCGCGGGCUUGGAUCGUGGCCUGCCCGACUUGCCCAAGUCGCAGGCCGAAAUGCUCGAGCGCCGACCGACGCGGUUCGACCGGAACGUUGUACGCACCCUCGUUCUCGGGACGUGGCGAGACGCGCUGCGAAUCGCGACCAUUUUUUGACCUCGACCUCAAAUCAGGCAGGACGACCCGCUGAACUUAA